AUGUUGUUUCCCCAGGAGUUCAGCUCAGUGCUUAGCUGUGGGUGUCUGCUUCUGCUUCCAUCAGCUACUGGAUGAAAGCUCUAGGAUGGCAUUUAAGGAAGUCAUCAAUCUCAUUACAGGGGAAGGGCAUUGAAGGUCGCCCUCAUAUAGUGAACUUGCAUAGAAGACCCUGCUGCUGAAGACACCACACCCUUCAGAUACAGUACUUGAAGGAAUCCAGCUGAAACCUGGAGUGCAUGUUUAUUUAUGAUUUUCUUCAACAAAUAGUAUUAAAUAAAAAGCAAGUUUGCAAACA